rnacentral:snRNA from 1 species
AAAGCCCAACUGACUUCUUUCC